rnacentral:misc_RNA from 1 species
GGGAUGCCUAAGGUAGGACUGAUGACUGGGGUGAGUCGUAACAAGGUAGCCGUACCGGAAGGUGUGGUUGGAUCACCUCCUUUUAGGGAGACCUAAUCCAUUUAGAAUUUGAAAGCAAUGUAAAUUGCUAAUAGAAACUAAAUUGGUCUAACCUAGGUCGGUCGAGAUUGGUAGAUAUCUUUCAAAGUAUUAUUUGGCUUAGUUCAAAAACACAAAUCAAACUCAGCACCUAACAAUCAUAGUUAGACUGCUGGAUUAAAUUCCAGUCAGAACCUUGAAAACUGCAUAAGAGAAAGAGUAAAAAAGCAGGCAGUCAUCAUAGACUGCAAGUGGUCAAGAUAAUAAGGGCUAAUGGUGGAUACCUAGGCACCACAGAGGA